rnacentral:rRNA from 1 species
AUGCAUGAGUUAACUAAGGAAAACAUUGAGCGUAUGAAUGCUAAAUAUAAACUUGCUGGAGAUAAGGGUAGAAAACAUGUUGUGUUUGCACCUGGAGAUCUUGUUUGGUUACAUUUGCGUAAGGAUAGAUUUCCUGAUUUGCGCAAAUCAAAGCUAAUGCCACGUGCUGAUGGUCCCUUUAAGGUGUUAGAGAAAAUAAAUGAUAAUGCAUAUAAACUUGAGCUGCCUGCAGAUUUUGGGGUUAGUCCCACUUUUAACAUUGCAGAUUUGAAGCCUUAUUUGGGUGAGGAAGAUGAACUUCCGUCGAGGACGACUUCAUUUCAAGAAGGGGAGGACGAUGAGGACAUCAAUACAAUUGUUACACCCACAGCCCCUGCUGCUAUACAUACUGGACCAAUUACUAGAGCUCAUGCACGCCAACUAAAUUACCAGGAAACAGACCCUCGUGGUCAGGUUGAUCGUGCUCCAGCGUGGUCAAUAACCUCUCGGAGUUGGUUUAGCGAUUGCUAA